AUUGAACGCUGGCGGCAGGCCUAACACAUGCAAGUCGAACGAGUGGCGGACGGGUGAGUAUUGUCUGGGACACUGCCCGAUGGAGGGGGCUAACUCCUCGAACCGGUCGCUAAUACCGCAUACCAUCUGAUGUGCCCACAUGGGAUUAGCUUGUAGGUGAGGUAACGGCUCACCUCGGCGACGAUCCCUAGCUGGUCUGAGCGGAUGACCAGCCACACUGGAACUGAGACACGGUCCAGACUCCUACGGGAGGCAGCAGUGGGGAAGAUUGCACAAUGGGCGCAAGCCUGAUGCAGCCAUGCCGCGUGUAUGAAGAAGGCCUUCGGGUUGUAAAGUACUUUCAGCGGGGAGGCGUUACCCGCAGAAGAAGCACCGGCUAACUCCGUGCCAGCAGCCGCGGUAAUUC
rnacentral:rRNA from 1 species